rnacentral:tRNA from 1 species
GAGGGUACAGCUCAAGUGGUAGAGCACAUGCUUAGCAUGCACAACGUCCUGGGUUCAAUCCCCAGUACCUCCU